AUGUCGCGUACUUUGUUCAACCGCAUAGCUGAUGGUAUACUUGAGCAUGACUAUGAUGGGUUUUUUACGCAAAAAAGAAGUGCUUCUGGAGCUCUUGGUUUACAUCCUAUGCAAAAGAUGAUUGCGGCAAUGCGUAUGCUAACAUAUGGAAUAGCAGCUGAUGGUGUUGAUGAGUACAUCCGGUCCGUUGAGUCUACUAAUUUAGAGUCUUGCAAGAAAUUUGUGAUCAAAGUUUGUGAAGUUUUUGGGGAAAAGUACCUGAGAUCUCCAAAUGAAGAAGACAUUGCUAGGUUACUUACAAUAGGGGAGGAAAGAGGAUUUCCCGAUGGUAUCUAUCCACGGUAG
rnacentral:rRNA from 1 species